UUAGGCUUGAGCAUGGAGGAAGGGACCAGAGAGCUAAGACAGAGGCGAAGGAGAAGAUCCACGGUGAAGCCUUCAUGUCCACAUUUGGUAUGACCAGGAUAUGUGAGUGGACUCUGACUGAAGAAGCAGAUACCCUGAUAGAAUGGUGGGCAUCAAUUGAAGAUUCAGUGUCAGCACUAGGUUUGACAACAGGAGUGUGAGCAAAGACAAAAGAGACACGAAGCUUAAGGAGGUGUUGCUGUUAUGCCACAACGUACAUCCCAUCUUGAAAUCCCAG